CAACCCUCAGCUACCCGCUGGUUUUGAACCCGAACGGUGCCCCCUAACCGGGGAACCGAGCCGGUUUUAAAGUUGUAAGCUCUGCUGGCCGCUCCGCCCCAACCAGAACAUAGUAAAAUACUACUUUUGUUAGGGUCAAGCGGAACGGUUUUUCGGCCUGAACAAAACCUACCCAUUUUUCAAG
rnacentral:misc_RNA from 1 species